rnacentral:rRNA from 1 species
CCCUUAGAUGUCCUGGGCUGCACGCGCGCUACACUGACCAGUGCAACAAGCAUCCGUCCUUGGCCGACAGGCCCGGGCAAUCUUUGAACGCUGGUCGUGAUGGGGAUAGACUUUUGCAAUUUUUGGUCUUCAACGAGGAAUUCCUAGUAAACGCAAGUCAUCAACUUGCAUUGAUUACGUCCCUGCCCUUUGUACACACCGCCCGUCGCACCUACCGAUUGAAUGGUCCGGUGAAGCCUCCGGAUUGGCGCGCACCUCGGUGCCGCCGAGAAGUUGGCUAAACCUUACCAUUUAGAGGAAGGUGAAGUCGUAACA